UACGAACUGUGCGAACGUUAUUCGGAAUCACUGGGCUUACAGGGUGCGUAGGCGGCUUAGCAAGUCAGGUGUGAAAGCCCCCGGCUCAACCGGGGAACUGCGCUUGAAACUGCUGAGCUCGAGUCAGCUAGAGGUACACGGAACUUCCAGUGGAGCGGUGAAAUGCGUAGAUAUCAUUUGGAACGCCAAUGGUGAAAACAGGUAGCUGGGGCUGUGCUGACACUGAGACACGAAAGCCAGGGGAGCAAACGGG
rnacentral:rRNA from 1 species